UAGGGAAUCUUCCACAAUGGGCGCAAGCCUGAUGGAGCAACACCGCGUGAGCGAAGAAGGGUUUCGGCUCGUAAAGCUCUGUUGUUAAAGAAGAACACGUAUGAGAGUAACUGUUCAUACGUUGACGGUAUUUAACCAGAAAGUCACGGCUAACUACGUGCCAG
rnacentral:rRNA from 1 species